UCAGACACUCUUCAACGCCCCAUCCCUGUUCUUUUCUCUCCAUCAGAAAAAUAAAAUAUAAAAAAAAUACCGAAAUUGGGAAACGAAAGAGGAAGGAAUGAUCAGGGAUGGGCUUAAGCCAAAAAUAUUGUUAGCCCUAUCUUCCUAACGGUGCUAUAGGUUGGGACUACUUACGUGGGUCAACCUAAUCCCCGCCUUAUGUUUAUAAAAAAUUAAAAAUGGAAAUAAGUUAGCACUGUUUUCCUUUCUCCCAAUCACAUAAAAGAUCAUUAUUUCAUGUCACUUCAUUUCAUCUCCAAAGAAGCAAAUCUGUAAGUCUUUGAUAGACAGCUAUGUAUACGAGACUGUAAUAAACGUGGUGGUCCUAAACUAUCUAAUAAUUUCUAUUCAGACACACAUAAGGGUAUAGAGAGAAGAGGGGGCACAUAGAAUGAAUAAUGGAUCUCUAUUUAUAAGUAAGGUCUAUGUUCGUCACCUCUUUUCAGUGCAUCCUUUCCUACAAACAAUCUACACGGACGAGCAUCAAGGAGAGCUUUGAGCACACAUCUCAUUCAACAUGAAUCAGAAGCAGUUAAGGUUUUGGAUGCAACUAAGCGUUCACCUCACCAAGUAGCAUACAGAAGGGAAGAACCUGUGAAGAGCGGCAUCGAUGGUGAUGAGGGAGAAGAUGAAUUAGUCUAUCACAUAGAUUAUCACGGUGUGACGACCCAUCCUGGUUCAAAUCCUAAACAUGGAAAACCAUAAAACAGUCAUCAGAUCGUUUUUUAUUCUUUUGAAUAUAUGUAACAUGAUCUAGCUAAUCAAUGAGAUGUAGUUGUUCUAAUUUCAUUUUACCACCUCGAA